CUACGGGCUGCUCCAGUUGCGAAACCUUUACAAUGUACGAAAGUGCGAUAAGGGAAUCCUUAGUGCUUUAGGUUUUUCCUAAGGCUUUUGGUAAAUUUAAAAAGUUUAUCGAAUAAGUGGGGGCAAGACUGGUGCCAGCAGCCGCGGUAAUACCAGCGCCACGAGUGGUUAUCAUGUUUAUUGGGUCUAAAGCGUUCGUAGCCUGUUUAAUAAGUUUUUUGUGAAAUCUUUUGUUUCAAAUAAAAGGUAUGCAAAAAAUACUGUUAGACUAGGAACCGGGAGGAGUGAAAAGUAUUCUAUGGGGAGCGGUAAAAUGUUAUUAUCCACGGAAGACUGCCUGUGGCGAAAGCGUUUCACUAGAACGGUUUUGACGGUGAGGAACGAAAGCUAGGGGAGCGAACCGGAUUAGAUACCCGCGUAGUC
rnacentral:rRNA from 1 species